rnacentral:lncRNA from 1 species
AACACUGACUUCAACUGGGAGACUAUAUUAGGAACAAGGGAAGGAAUGUCUCUGCAAGACCUCCGACAGACCAAGCAGCAGCUCUACAGGAAUUGACUACAGACUGAAACUCAGCUCUAUGGGACUUGACUAAGAAAGUCAAGAUAGCAUGUAAGUCAUAAUGAGCCGUAAUGCACAGAAGAUGGUACAAAUAAAAGCCUUGCCACUGCAAGCCUACAGGACUACUCACACACAGCGAAGGAUAUCAGGGAACAUGAGAAAUAAUGGUCAAAAACCAGACGUAAAGCAACAAGUUCAUGGCAUAGCUUAAAGAAAGAAGCUAACAGAUGUGUGGUCA